CCAGGCGGCCGGAUGACCGCCGCUCCGGCCGUUCGCGGGCGGGGUGGAGGAAAGUCCGGGCUCCACGGGAAUACGGAGCCGGGUAACACCCGGCGGGGGCGACCCCAGGGAAAGUGCCACAGAAAGCAAACCGCCUGCCAAUAUAUACGUUCGCGUAGCUUUGGCGGGUAAGGGUGAAAGGGUGCGGUAAGAGCGCACCGCGCCGCCGGUAACGGCGGCGGCAGGGUAAACCCCUCCGGGAGCAAGACCAAAUAGGGGCGGUACGCCGCGCCGUUCGCGGCCCGGCAGACGAAUUCCCGCGUUACCGCCCGGGUCGGUCGCUAGAGGCGCCCGGUAACGGACGUCCCAGAAGAAUGGUCAUCGCCCGCAUUUGUUAACCAUUUGCGGGAUACAGAACCCGGCUUACAGGCCGCCUGGCGCU
rnacentral:RNase_P_RNA from 1 species